UACGUAGGGUGCGAGCGUUAAUCGGAAUUACUGGGCGUAAAGCGUGCGCAGGCGGUUUGAUAAUCCAGAUGUGAAAUCCCCGAGCUCAACUUGGGAACUGCGUUUGGAACUGUCAGACUAGAGUGCGUCAGAGGGGGGUGGAAUUCCGCGUGUAGCAGUGAAAUGCGUAGAGAUGCGGAGGAACACCGAUGGCGAAGGCAGCCCCCUGGGAUGACACUGACGCUCAUGCACGAAAGCGUGGGGAGCAAACAGG
rnacentral:rRNA from 1 species